rnacentral:rRNA from 1 species
AACGCGACCCCAGGUCAGGCGGGGCUACC